GUCCCGGGGAGGCCGUGCUUUAACUGGCAUCCUCGCUGUGGCUGCAGGCGCCGCUGGUUCUCUUUCGCCUGUCCAGUUCUACCUUGGCCUGUGCAGCCACCCUAGAUCCGCGAACUUUGUGCCGCCGCUCCCUCUACCCUGUCUUGCGACGGCCAGCGCUAAGAAUUCACGCUACGACACUCGGUUCAGCCAGGAGGUGACACCAGAUGUGGUCAGAAGCCAUGCCACUGGUGAAGAGGUAUAUUGAGCCCCGCCUGGCCCAGUGAGGUUACUAGAGAAUUGGGAGAGGCUUAGAUCAACAUCCUGCACAUGGUUAUCAAAUCAGUGUGAAAUCUUGAAAAUCACCUGGGAUGCCUGUUAAAAAUGCAGAUUCCUGGGCAGCCAGAAACCUUGUCAUUGGUCAAGAGCAACACUAAGACCUACCUGUCAUGUAUAUUGAGGCUUCCUGCCCAGUGGGUUCAUCAGCAAGCCAGAACGAAUCACCAUUGCCAUGUCCUUGUGAGGCAGUUGGGAAGCCUUGCUUAUUUCAAAAUGGAAGUGCUAUUGUUCCUGGUUAUAAAGUGAAGAGGUACUUAUAAACAAUUCAGAUGACACAGGAUAUAAAAAAAUAUAGUCAAGAUAAGCUAUAAUCCCAUCAUUCAACUAAAACCACUGUUAAACUUCUGUCACAGAAGCUGCAAUGAAUUCUGUCAUGGCCCUGAAGUAUGCUUUGUUCCCAUGGAAAAGAACCUAACUGAAGACUGAUAGCGUGGACAUGUUUCUGGCAUCAGGGAUGAGGGAGACCUUUAAAAACAACUUGUCAAGUCCUCACCAUGAAUACCAUUGGAAUUGCAGUUGGAAUGGCACUGAAUGCAUAGAUUGAUUUUUGGAGAGCUAUCAUCUGUAUAAUCUCAUACAUGAAUGUGUUUCUGAAGGAAAUAGGCAGAUGUCCUAGGAACUGAGAUUCUGUUUCGAAAAGUACAGAAGAUGUCAUCUGCGUAGACUAGAUUCUUCAGUAUAAAAGAAGUGCGUCCUCUAUACUUAAGCUUCUGGGAACUCGGUGCCCAUUGUAUACAGGAUAUGUACCCAUUGAAGACCUUCAUGCCCUCCAAUAUAAGGCUAACUUGUUGUGUUCUCACUACAAAAGUUUAGAAUCAGAGAGUUUCUUCUCUCUGCUGCCUUUUGAGCUACGACACGGUGCUGGGAGAUGGGGAUAUGGAGACGAAUUUAGACACAGUCCCUGCCCACAGGAGUUCUCAGUCUAGUGAGAGAGUUCGACACGUACACGGAUAAUUACAACAGUAUGGUAUGCUCUACAGUGGAGGUAUGUACAAGAUACUAUGGGGUUCGGAAGAGAAAUCAUUUGAUUGAGUAUGGAGAUGCCAGAGGCUGGAGGAACUGAUGCUUCAGGGGAUUCUUAAAAGAAGUAAAGCUUGACCAGGAAGAAAACAGGGAAGGACCUUUUAAGCAAAGGCAUGGACAUUGGAGAUAGAAUGAUGAAAUGGGGGGACUACGAGUAGUUCCUGAAAUUGGGUUAGAAAUGUAGGCUGAUGAUAGAUCCUUAUAUAGUAUUCCAUGAAAUGCGGAUUCCAUUUUGAGUGUUUCAGUAGGAGAUGCAUUUGAUGGUCACUCUGGCAGUACUAUAGAGUAUGUUCUGGAAGAUCUUUAAAUCUGGACAGGGAGAUUAGUGAGAAGGCUACUGUAGUAAGUAAGAUGAUAAAUGAUCUGAGGCCAGAAGGAGUGGGAGUGGAGAAGAGGACCUGACUUCUUAGAGGCUAUACAAACACGGACCUAAUAGAGGGGCCAGUUAAGGCUCUCAGACUUGGGCAAAUGUGCAUUCGCCUACCUCCAUCCCUGGCCUUCAUGAGAAAUCCCCUCAUGUUUUCUAGAUGGGCAUUGCUCCUGGUCUCUUUUGGACCAGGGCUUGACUGGACCGUGUUUUGCAGGUUUCUCUUGGGGUGCAGCUGUAUAGGAAAUGUUGAUUCUCAGACAUCUGAACAGCUGCAGACCUCUCAUAGGAUUACUUAGUUCCUGGUCCUUCUCAUCAGUAGCUGCCCUCCCUCAUGACCACAUGUCGCCCAAAGUCAGAGCAGAGGCUCUCCUUAUCUAAAACCCACUCGGGGAAGAGGUGGCCCUCGUUGUUACUGUCUCAGUUCUGUUUUGCUUAGGGACUUGACAGUGUUUAUGGUUACACCUCCCAGUAAAACAUGUUCAGUAAUCAAAAAUCUGUAGAUGCAGUAUUCAUUUCCUCUUUCCUCAAAGCAAGAGGAACAUGUCCUUUAGAAAAUUCUCCACCUAGGGCUCAGAGUAGUGACCCUGGGGAUUCAGAGAAUGGAUUUCUGUGACUAGAACGAUUAACAGGAGAUUAUAGUUAAGUAAACCUUAGGUAUUUUCAGUGGACCCUGUGUAAGUAGCCAUCCUAGAGGGCACUAAGGGGAAGAAGGGGUGGGAGGGGAAGCUCCGAGUAGGACAGCAGAGCAGGACAGUAAGAGUUUGGGCCUUGGACUAAAUAGCCUAGGCUCAGAUCUGCUUUUAGAUUCACCAGUGUGGUGUCAAGCAUGGUUUUUCACCUCUCUGGGGCUUUCCUUUCACUUAUGUAAAAUAGGGGUAAUAAUCUUCUUUUGCAGUGGUUUGGGGGGUGGUAAUAGCAAUGAUUUUUAAGGAUUUAAUGGGAUUGUUCAUGUAAAUUGCUUAGAACGAGUCGGAAGUAUGUCAAAUGCUGUAUCAACUAUAGUUGCUGCUGAUAAUGAUGUUGACUGUGAUUAAAAGAAGAAUUAAAAGAAGAUAGUUAACUAGAGGUGCUUAUAUUUUGCAUGGUCAAUGAAACUCAUGGGGUUCGAGGAAGAAAAGAAAAUGAACCAACGUGAAGGUUUUCAAUGGUAUGCUAGUAUGAAGUCAGUUCUCUGCCUUCUUUUUCUUCUCUGCCAAAUGGCUUGGGAAACCAGAUGAAUUUUGUCCAUGCCCUGAUCACUAAUCUAUUGCCUUUGCUCUUAUUUCCAAAUAGAAACCCGUUGAAAAGUUGUGUUACACCUGAAUAAAGCUUAUCCUAAAAAUGUAGAAAAAUGCUUUGGAGUUGGUCAAAACUGGACUUGAAACCUGACUCAACUGUUUACUAGCUGUGUGAUCUAAGGCAUGUUACUUAACCUCAUUGAACCUCAGUUGCUUCAUCUAAUAUCAUAAUUAAUUUGCAGGGUUUCUAUGAGGACAUUUGUCAAGUGUGUGUCAUAAGCACUCUAUCAAUCAUAGCUAUUAUUGUUAGUUCUUGGGAUGCUCACCACGUGACAGAGACAACAGCAGGCCCUGGUGGCUGGGAGGACGGCAUGGAUCCAACCUCAACCUGGAGUUGUGCUCUUCUGAAGAAAUCCUACUCGGAUGGAUAUAAUACAACCUGCUAAGUGUCCUAGCACUUAUCAGGUUGUAUUAUCAUUGUCCGGGUCUAUGGCUCUCGUCUACCAGACUCUAAAUUCCUUACAGGCAAGGACAGUGCCUUACUCAUCUUUGUAUUCGGUGCCUAAUCCCGUGCACAUUGUAGGCCUCAUUAAAUGUUUGUUGAAUGAAAACCUGAAUCAUCAACAGACAUUAAUUGGGCGCCUGCUCUGUGAUCUCCAUGGGCUCAGCUUUUCCCCGCCAGUUGCCUACAACGUCCAAGCUGUCUUCAGUACGCUUUCUCCCGAAGCUUACUCCUAUCUUCUGACCCUUUUGCUGAGGACUUUUCUGUGUAGUGCAAGCAUAGCAAAUAUAUUCACUUCAUCUCAAGUACCAUCUCCAGCCGAUUGGGAGUACCUGCCUUGAUUCUGUUUUAUAAAAAGGAUUCCGAAGCCAGCUCUCAGGGCAGUGUGAAAGAGCGUUAACGACUCAUCAGUGAUGUUUGCCGAGGGUGGGAGAAGGGGCCGUAACAGCACAAGGGCCACAUCUGGGUCAUAUUUGGUACUAUGUUUUCCGUGAACUGCUCUGUCUCUAUGCCUGCAUUUUAGUCUUGGCUACUUGCAGAUGUUGCAUGGCUGCCGCUGCCACCCCAGUUGCUGCUGGUUGCUCCUUGGGUAGGACCACAGUGAUCACUGAUCAGAAACUUCAUCCUCACAGUCCAGGGUUUGCUCCUGUGGCUGGUAUUCACAGUUUCCCCUUUCAGCUUUACCUCAGCUAUCCCCUUACCUACUACACUGACAGGUAGGCCUCCCCUUUCCGUUCACCACCCAACAGGCUCACAUUUCUUUUCUUAUUUCCGAAUGAUUAAUUGUUCUUGUUCCGUGAGAAGCCUUCUUUCUGUUAGAAGACGUGACAGCUAGAAUACAAGUUAAACGAUUCCAUCAGGGCGCUUCAGUGAGUCAUAUAAGCUUCCCCUUUACCGUGGGAGAAAAUUGGCAGACUUCGGGGCGGUAAGCACUGAGAAGGGAGGUGUUGUAGAUGUGGGAGAGAAAGACGAUAGCAGAUGGAAUCAGAUCCUGGGAACCGAUGUAGGCUGGGAGGGUGAAACCUCUGGCUCCAGAAUGGGGGUGCAGGGAUAGCCUUGGUUGAAAGGAGUUACCUCCUUGCGGGAACACAGGGAUUCAGAGUUAGGAGGAGGAGCUGAGAAGGGGGUUGAAGAUUUGUAAUUGUCGAGGUGACUGAUGGGGAGAGGAAGCCGACCAGGGACAGGAUUACAGAGACAAACCAGAGUCUACGGAAUAUUCGGGCCAAAAGGCUGGAGUGGGGCCUUUUGGCAUGUUAAAGUGGGGUACUAUUAUAUUAAAUGAUACGUGAGAUGUGAUAUGACUCAGUUAAAGCGAGAAACUAGCUUGAAACUCAGGGAAUUGUAAAGUGGUCUUAGGCCACUGUCACAAGUAAAUUUGAUUGCCUGGGCCUGACCUUUAUUGAUUGAGGAGUGGACAGCUAGCAAGAGAAGGGUUAUGCAGAAAUGACUUUGAAAAUCCAGACUCUCUGUGGAAGGCAGUGUAGGUCCAAAGUGAGCUCAAAGUCUGUGCCUAAAAAGAGGACUGGGCGUGAUCAAGAUGGAUGUUGAGUAGUUGGAAACUUGGAAUAAUAGGACCUGUGGUCGGAGAGUGGAUUUUGAAGCCUUGAGAUUUCAAAACCGGAGCGGGCAAGAUACUUGUGAAGCUGGGAUGUCAGAUGGUCCGUUACCUACAUACUGAAGUGAUCCAGGGUUACAGCGAAAGCUGGACUGGGAACGAGCACUGUGGGCCAGCUAGAAUUAAGGCUUCAGUGCCUGAGGAAUGGUUAGAGGUUGGCUCACGGCGGCUGUGCAGAUGCAAAAGAGGAAAGGAUGUAGUGGGUUAGUAGUAGGAGCCGCAGAAGAGUGGCAGGGAGUCUUCGAAGUUACAGAAACUAUGAUUUGCACAUUGCACUGCGGUGUCGGUUUGCAGAACGCCCAGCAGAAACGAUCCCCUCGUUUACUGAGCGCCUGGUCUGUCCCCGGCACCUUGCUCUGUGCUCUGCCAUUUACCCCAUCUGGGUCUGUCACAUACCGGGUGUGAGAGAAUGAGCAGCAGUCCCAAGCAAGGACAGCUAGGGGAGCUGCUGGCCCUCAGAACUGAGGGGAUGCCAUGGCCAUCUCAGCAGACUGGGCAGCUUGAAGUGGCGUAAAAAAGUUUCCUUAGGAUCAAAAAAUUUCCCUUGACCUUGACCUAACUCUGUUACAUGGUACAAGCUCGUGUUGGCUGUUCCAUAAUGUACUCUCGCUUCUGAGCCUCUGAGUUGAGGAGUAUGGGCUGGUACUGUCCUUAAAAAAAAAUUAAAAAAAAUAAAACAGGCACAGCACUUUCAAAAACGCACAUAUUGAUUGACUAGAACAAGACAGUCCAGUUACCUAAUUGAGCUUUUAAGAUAAAGGAUAGACGAGAGAAGCUCGCAUCGAUGGGUGGUGAAAAACAAGACCACUUUGCAAAAGCCACUCUGAGGUCAGGAUCCAUCCAGUUUAGUGGACAUAUUGUAGAUACCUGCUGUGCUGUUGGGAAGGACUGGAAAUUGACGCAGAGAGAUGUCCCUUGGGACCCGGAAGGUCAAGUUUAGGAGAAGAGAGUCUCUGUGAACCCUGCGACAUUGCAUGUAGUCAUUUUUCUUUGGUUAUAGUCUUCACAUGAUUCAGUAUUUCACUAAAGGUUUAGAGCCACUGUGAUAGAGUGACCAGGCCCUCAGACAGCCCAUCCCCUCCUGUGGGGGCUGCUUUAUAUUUAUUCCUCAGGAGAACCUGGUAGAAGACUUCGUGUGAGGGAGAAGAAAAGGCAAGAAGCAGAGAGUGACUCCAGCCUGUCGUCAUCUCAGCUUCACAAGGCAUGACUCAGCAGAGGGAGGGAUCAUCCUCUGGAGAGUCUCCAGACCCAGGUUGCUCCUUUCAGUUGCAUGCUUAGACCUCUCAGCUACUUUUUCUGUUCAGAAAUCAUACUGUAUGUGCAUAUGUGAACUGUCACUUCCCAUAAAGAGUACUCCACAUUCCCAGUUAAAAAAAAAAAAAAAUCCCUCAAAGAAGGUAUAAGGCUCGCUGUGUUAGGUUUCCAGUAGUCAAAAAUUGCUGGAUCCCCAAUGCUGGAAUAUAGGCCACCAGAGAGGAGUUUGGGUUUCAGCAACAAAGGCUCCCAGCUUCAUGGAAGGAAGGCAGUCAGCUGACUUGAAAGUAACCCCUAUCCCUGCACUUCACAUUAUUCCUUCUUCCUUCAGCUCCUUGACUCAGAUAAGACCACUGACAACAGCAAACCAAAGCCAUACCUUCUCCUUCCACUGGCACUUCUCUGGCCUGCGUAGCUGCUGUUAGGAAUCACUCUCUUUCAUUAGCACUUCCUUCCUCCCAUCUCUUAAGACCCAGAGAGUCAUGAAUGCUAGAGUUGGGGUCGAAUUUGUCCUACUUGCCUCUGUGGUUGGGGAAUACUAACGUUAAUCAGCCCGAUACCCACUUCCUCCUUAUACCAUGACAGUUCCUGGAGAAGCUGUAGCCAAGUCCAGCAACCCUGCGGACCCCAGCCCCAGGACUUACUCCUGAGGUCUCAGCUGAUUACAAAAUACUAGUAGGAGGGCUUGCCCCAUCCCAGCCCCCCUUCUGAGUUAGCCAUCAGAGAUCAGGACUUGUCUUAGGGCAUAUGUUGCAUAAGAACAGAUUAUCUCAGGGGUUAAUAGUGAACAGUAUCAGGAGUCCAGGUUACCUUUUAUCUCUCUUGGGGAUGGGCAGAAUAGGGCAAGUGGAAAGUCUUGUGCCUUUAAAAUAUAUUCCCAGUGAUUCCUCAGGACACCCUGGGUCACACCAUCUGGUAACUUAUCCCGGGUCUUGCCUCUUCUUCAGAGUUUUUCUAGUGCACAUCUUGCUCUCACUAAUCACCUUUUAUUCCCUGCCAGACCCUGGUGGGUUUCAGUGGGUGUGGUUUUGUUCUGUUUUUUUUCUUUUCCCUUCCUCAGGCCAUCUGUAACAGUCAUCAUCUGGGAGGAGCCUUGUUGUGAAUGAAGCCUCAGUGAGUGAGUGGAGUGACCUCUGAAUAUAGGAGGGAAGGAGGCCAUGAAAUCCUAUAAUGGAGUAACUAAAAUUUGACAUUUUAGUAGAUACUGGACCUAGAAGCCUACAUGAAGGAAGUUAAACAAACCUGAGAGAUCUUGGAUGUGUGUUGAGUGAAGACAGGAGUGAAUUCCUUAUUGCCCUUAGUAAUGGAGGAAGAGAGGGGAGAAAAGUGAGGGUCCUUUAUGUCCCUGGAGGAGGCCCUGAGGCUUGCUUCUUAAACCAGUGACUUUUAAGUUGCAGUGUACUACUUCUGUUGCUGUUUGAGAGUCGCUGUUCCAAGCCCUCUUCUCAGGUACAGCUGCCUUUGUAGAGAUUCCUCUUGACCCCUAUUGAGAAACAACCCAGAACGAGGUUUGCAGCUUAGAACUCUCUGGAUCAGUGACAGUUUUAGAGGGGCCGAGGACAGAGAAGGUAGCACAAGUAGUACCAAAUAGCUCAGUUUUUUAUAUAUAGGAUGGAUGGGGUAGAGGCGGAGAGCACAGUGGUUCCAGGCAACUCCAAACACCUGGCAAGGUGUAAGGAAACAGUACACUGAAAGGUCAACCCUUAGACCUAUUAUUUGUCAAUCCCCAGAGCAUGAUAGAAUAUCUAAAAGUUAUAAAGAUUCUUUUCUAGAAGAGAUUUAGAAGAGGGGAACUCCAAUUAUGUAAUAUGAGCAUUACAGCUUUUAAAAACAUCUGUUCCCUACGUAGGUCAUGGAGAUUGAUACUCGUAUCAGCCUGUGGCUGACUAGGCCAGUAUUAACUUCGAGGUUUCAUGCUCUUGGAGAGAUCCUGCCACUCUCUUGCUUUGACAGGUGUUCAUCUGCAGUAUGAGUCCAGUACUUGAAGGAACAAGAGGACAGCAGGCAUCCAGGGGACAGCAGUGUAGUCUUCGAAGUGAAGAUGGCAACAGAAAAGAUCAUGGAGUUGGCUGGAUUGGGCUGGGCUUGUUUGUUGUUUCAGAAUUUAAAAAAUACUUUUUUUCUUGUUGAUAAAAGUAACAGAUGAUCACUGUUGAAAAAUCAAAGGUAUAAAUUAAAAAGUAAAGAACACCUAUAAUCUUAUAACCCACAAAACAACUCAACAUCUGAGUGUGUUUCCUUUUGCCCCUUUAAAAAAGAAUGUCUGUAACACAGUUUUUUCAAGUUUUCAUUUUAAUUCCAGUUAGUAAACAUAGUGUUCUGUUCAUUUCAGGUGUACAAUUUAAAAACAAAAUUGACAUCAUAUUGUAUAUGUUGUUCUCCCAUCUUUUUUUCGUUUGAAAAUAACAUAUUUCCAUGUUACUAGCGUUCUUUGAAAACACAGUAUUGUUACAUAAUAUUUCAUACGGAUCUAACAAAAUUUAGGUAGAUGAUUACAUGCUGCUGGACAUUUGCAUAUUACCAAUUUUGCCUAUAAAAUGUAAUAAACUUCAUUGUACAUUAA